rnacentral:lncRNA from 1 species
CCGAAGUUGAAGGCGCACCUCCCCUUCCCGGGAAGGACGACGGUUCCCCAAAAGAGGCGGAGGGUAGUCUCUCAUCUGAACCAGGCGCUUUAAUGCCUGCCUGAAGCCACCGCGGCCAGCGUGGAGACCACGCAGCGGGCGGGCGGCUGCAAGCCCUGGGCUCCGAGCGCCUCUCCUGUGCGGGUCCCGCCCCCCUCCCCGCAUUCCUCUCGUUCUGCUCCCGAGCCCAGGCCACGCUGAAGGAAGUACUUGGGCAGUCUCUUUCCUGGAGAACGGGCCCGCCGGUUCCGGAAGCCUCUCCUACCCCCAGGCUGGUCACCUCGGACUACCGACCCGGGACAAGAAGUCCAAGCAGACUGCGGCGGAGGCUGGAAUGCUACAACUACAUUCUCCAAGACUACCUUGUAGCUAGUUUCUGCAUGUGACCUAGCUAUCACCAAGAAGACAUAUUGCUUGAGACUAGGAGGCAGAGAUGCUAAAUGUGAAUGAUAGCUCUGCAGAGAGAGAGAUCAGAUCUUGCAAGUGCAGAGAACAAGACACCUGGAUUUCCUGGGACAGCUGCUCUGGGGAUUUUGGAUUCCAAAGGCCAGUUCUCUUGUCUUUCCAGAAAUUCUUACAAGAUAGUUGGCAGUCAUCCAUAAUCUCAGGAGAAGACAGCAAACUGGCCAAAAAGCAAAAGCAGAUGAGUCUCAUCCUGUUGCCCAGGCUGCA